GAAACAUCUGCGCUGCUUCAUUUGAUUGGAGAUGUAGUGGGAUUUGCAAGUCUGUUGAGAGGAUCAUGGAAGUUCACAAGCGCUGUGGUGAAGAUGAGAAUGCUUUGUGGAGUGCAAGGUUCUGAUAGAUAUCAACAACUGUUCUUCCAAACUCAGGAAGGAUGAGUUGAGAAAGUUGGCACAUAACUGUACUUCUGUCAUCUAUGCCUACAUUGGGAGAGAGAGUGUAUGUGAUACUAAAUUAUAGAAUCAUAUAGAGAGGAAAAAAAGAAGAAGAAGAAGAAAAAGAAGAAGAA
rnacentral:misc_RNA from 1 species